UACGUAGGGUGCAAGCGUUAAUCGGAAUUACUGGGCGUAAAGCGUGCGCAGGCGGUUAUGUAAGACAGAUGUGAAAUCCCCGGGCUUAACCUGGGAACUGCAUUGGUGACUGCAUCGCUCGAGUAUGGCAGAGGGGGGUAGAAUUCCACGUGUAGCAGUGAAAUGCGUAGAGAUGUGGAGGAAUACCGAUGGCGAAGGCAGCCCCCUGGGUCAAUACUGACGCUCAUGCACGAAAGCGUGGGGAGCAAACAGG
rnacentral:rRNA from 1 species